rnacentral:lncRNA from 1 species
AUCCCACAAAAGAAAAUCCUUUUUUUUAAUACUCACACUCCUUAUUAGUUAAUAAUCCUGGUGAUUGGAUUUCUAUGUUUAUUUUGACGGGAAAAAGAGAUUCAAAUAAAAGAUUUUUCAUCGAAUGACUAUUCAUCUAUUGUAUUUUCAUACAAAUAAGGGGCAAGAAAACUCUAUGGAAAGAUGAUGGUUCAAUUCGAUACUGUUUAAGAAAGAGUUCGAACAAGGAAAGAAUACUCCUAAAUUUCAUUUUUAAAUUUGAAUGAGACUAGUAAUUAAAGUUAUUAAUCUGUUAAAGGAUACGUGGUUUGAUAAAAGAGAUCUUAGUUAUUUUUUUAUUAAUUUUAUUUUACC